GAUGAACGCUGGCGGCGUGCCUAAUACAUGCAAGUCGAGCGAAGAGGGGAAGGGUGAGUAACACGUGUAUAAACUCCUCUAAGACUGGGAUAACAUCGGGAAACCGGACCUAUAUCGGACACUUAUGGUUGGAUCCGCGCUGCAUUAGCUAGUUGGUAAGGUAACGGCAUACCAAGGCAACGAUGAAUAGCCGACCUGAGAGGGGGAUCGGCCCAACGGGAACGGGGACACGGUCCAGACUCCUACGGGAGGCAGCAGUGGGGAAUCUUCCGCAAUGGCCGAAAGCCUGACGGAGCAACGCCGCGGAGGUGAUGAAGGUUUUCGGUUCGUAAAACUCUGUUAUUAGGGAAGCGGUACCUGAUCAGAAAGCCACGGCUAACUACGUGCCAGCAGCCGCGGUAAUAC
rnacentral:rRNA from 1 species